CCUACGGGGGGCUGCAGUGGGGAAUAUUGGACAAUGGGGGGAACCCUGAUCCAGCCAUGCCGCGUGUGUGAAGAAGGCCCUCGGGUUGUAAAGCACUUUCAGUGAGGAAGAACGCCUGGUGGUUAAUACCCAUCAGGAAAGACAUCACUCACAGAAGAAGCACCGGCUAACUCCGUGCCAGCAGCCGCGGUAAUACGGAGGGUGCGAGCGUUAAUCGGAAUUACUGGGCGUAAAGCGCGCGUAGGUGGCUUGAUAAGCCGGUUGUGAAAGCCCCUGGCUCAACCUGGGAACGGCAUCCGGAACUGUCAAGCUAGAGUGCAGGAGAGGAAGGUAGAAUUCCCGGUGUAGCGGUGAAAUGCGUAGAGAUCGGGAGGAAUACCAGUGGCGAAGGCGGCCUUCUGGACUGACACUGACACUGAGGUGCGAAAGCGUGGGUAGCAAACAGGAUUAGAUACCCUGGUAGUC
rnacentral:rRNA from 1 species